GCCGGGAUGGCAAACAGGAAGUCCAGGGCGUCGUGUGCUGUUUUCUGCUAAUCUCAGCCUGUCAAUAACCGGUGUUGCGGUCGGACUGGCCCUUGUGAGUCUUCUUAUGAUGGCAAGAUGCCCUCAACAAUGACCAUCAGGAAACUGAAGAAAAAUAAAGGUUUACUGCUCGCCAGACCUGGCAAUUACACAGCACACCUGGAGCCCCGGUCUCAGGAAGGUUAUAACGAACCCACCGCCAUUCUGGAUCUUCCUUUCAAGGAGCCCUGGAAGAUCUAAUCAACCUGCCACAAAAUCUUUUCUAAUGAACUUCGUCACCCGUGAGGGACCGUCCUCAUUCCCCUUUUGCAGCAGCGUGACCCCCGGCCCUGCCGCUCGCCUUGGAUGCUCCGGCCCCUGUCUCACCUGGACACCGUCUCCGUAGAUGUGGUCACAGGAGCGCCUCAGCCCCAGAUUUGAGAGAGACACAAGGCGAGCCACAGCUGGGACUCGGGGAGCAAGAAAACACAGCGCAGUCAUGGCUCCUGCCGAGAGAAGCGCAGGGCAGCGCGUGGUGAGGAGUUCGCCUCUGCACUAAUCCCGGGAUGCCACGAGGACCUCGGGCUUCUGACUUCGUCCUCCUGAUUCUUCCCGGCCUUCCGGGACCUCAGCUCCAGAACAAUGAGACUCCUCCACGCCCUCCGUGCCGCUUUCUUGAUCGUCUUCCAGGUUGUGGACACAGUAAAAUGCUUAAUUUAUGUGACUCACGUCCAAGUGUAUGCCUGCAGAGGAAAAGAAAUUGUAUUCUUCCCAUGCCAGGGAUGUGCCCUGGUAGGAGCUUCUGUUGUAAGAAUGAAGUGCACUGAAGAAUUCAUGUUUGAUGGCACUACCCUGAAUUAAGUAAAUUGAAGAAUUCACGUUUAUUGGAUCAUCCCUGAAUUAAAUUGGAAAGCUGAGACCUCA